rnacentral:rRNA from 1 species
GACGUAGGGCGCGAGCGUUGUCCGGAUUUAUUGGGCGUAAAGAGCUUGUAGGCGGUUUGUCGCGUCUGCUGUGAAAAUCCGGGGCUCAACCCCGGACUUGCAGUGGGUACGGGGCAGACUAGAGUGUGGUAGGGGAGACUGGAAUUCCUGGUGUAGCGGUGGAAUGCGCAGAUAUCAGGAGGAACACCGAUGGCGAAGGCAGGUCUCUGGGCCACUACUGACGCUGAGAAGCGAAAGCAUGGGGAGCGAACAGG